GUGGUGGAAGCCACCGUAGAGAGAGAUAUGGAUGAGCUCGGAGGAGGAGAAGUGGGAGAGGAAAAAGGGGAGGAAGGAGAGGAGGAAGAAGAGGUCACUGAUAAGGAAGGAAUGGAGGUGGUUGGAGCUACACCAUGGAGUGGAUUGGCAGAACAUAGGCGGGCUUGGAGGAGGAGGAGAAGUGGGAGAAAAGUAAAGGGAGAGGAAAGAAGGGUUCAGCGACGGGAUGGGCGGAGGUGGAGGGAGCCACUAUAGAGAAAAAGGGCUCACAAAUAGACUUGGAGGAGGAAGAGUAGAUGAGGAGAAAGAUGAGAAAAAAUGAGAGAUCAUCAGUGAGGAAUGGGUGGAGAUAGAGGGAGUCACCGUAAAGGAAGAAGGCACAUGAAUGAGCUUAGAGGA
rnacentral:lncRNA from 1 species